AUGCCAAACUUCCUUUCAAUUUUUUUAGGCUCUAAUUCUAAUCCCCAUGACAAAGGCUCCAAAGAUCUUCACGCUAAGUUCCACUUUCCAUUUCUUUUACUCUGUUUUCAAGCUAUCUUCACGAUCAAACUCUACUCCAAUUCACUCUACAUCUUCAUUAUCCCUCCAAGAGAUCCAACUCAUUCAACAUUCAACUAG